AGGAAGGCAAACAUGAGGACCUUGGUUAAAAGUGUGGACUCCACGGCCAGACAGCCUGGGUUUGGAUGGAAACGGGUGCCAGCUCUUUAGACUUCAGGACAGUUGCCACUCAGUCUGGGGUGCCUUGUAUCUAAGUUCAAUGUCCUCAAGCUGUAGCAAAAUUCCUCUACUGCAUUAAGAAUCCCCCUAACCACGCUUGUCUAUGCUUACAGUGAUCGUGGGGGACUACAUGAGACGAACAGCAUGAAGUGAAUUCUCCAUAAAUGCUUUACUGUUGAGCAACGACAGAGGGUGAAGGUCAUUGUGUUCGCUCAGAGGGUGGCAAGGCUGGCAGGCACCGUGGCAGGAGAACGCAGAGGUACCGCAGCCUUCUGAGGCCAGGCUGUGUGACGACAGCGAAUGAAGACACCAGGCGGAGAGAGAGCCUUCUGAGAUGAGCCAGAUCUAUGGACAUAAUUGACACAGGACCCCCUAGGGUAAUUAAGCCAGCAAGUCCUUUGCGGGUGAAAUAAGAAAAGCCGGCUCUCAGUGCAUUCUGAAUUUCUCUACGGAUGCUGCAGAAACAGAACUAGAAACAGCUGCAGUUUAUCUGUGCUGCCGAAUUGACUGUAAUUUGCUACUACCCUCACCCUUACCACAUAGCAAUCAGUGUACAGCAGUGCAGAAUUUUAAGAUGA